UCAGACAUGGUGUAGCGGUAACAUCGCCUCUUUGAUUAAGCGUAGCUCAUCGAGAUUUAUGAGGCCGUCCCGGGUUCGAACCCCGGUGUCUGAG